AGCAGCCGCGGUAAUUCCAGCUCCAAUAGCGUAUAUUAAAGUUGUUGCAGUUAAAAAGCUCGUAGUUGAAUUUCGGGAUCAAUAUGUCGGUCGUGCCUUCGGUACGUACUGGUAUCAUUGGUCUCUCCUUUCUGACGAACCAUGAUGUCAUUAAUUUGGUGUUAUGGGGAGUUAGGACUGUUACUUUGAAAAAUUAGAGUGUUUAAAGCAGGCUUUAGCUUGAAUACAUUAGCAUGGGAUAAUGAAAUAGGACGUUCGAACCUAUUUUGUUGGUUUCUAGGAUCAACGUAAUGAUUAAUAGGGAUAGUUGGGGGCAUUAGUAUUCAAUUGUCAGAGGUGAAAUUCUUGGAUUUAUUGAAGACUAACUACUGCGAAAGCAUUUGCCAAGGAUGUUUUCAUUAAUCAAGAACGAAAGUUAGGGGAUCGAAGACGAUCAGAUACCGUCGUAGUCUUAACCAUAAACUAUGCCGACUAGGGAUCGGAUGAUGUUAAUUUUUUAAUGACUCAUUCGGCGCCUUAC
rnacentral:misc_RNA from 1 species